rnacentral:rRNA from 1 species
AUUGAACGCUGGCGGAAUGCUUUACACAUGCAAGUCGAACGGCAGCACGGACUUCGGUCUGGUGGCGAGUGGAGAACGGGUGAGUAACAUAUCGGAACGUAUCCAAUAAUGGGGGAUAACUAAUAGAACGGUUGGCCAAUCCCGCAUACGCCCUAUGGGGGAAAGAAGGGGAUCUUCGGACCUUACGUAAAUGGAGCGGCUGAUAUCUGAUUAGCUAGUUGGUGAGGUAAAGGCUCACCAAGGCGACGAUCAGUAGCGGGUCUGAGAGGACGACCAGACACACUGGAACUGAGACACGGUCCAGACUCCUACGGUAGGCAGCAGUGGGGAAUUUUGGACAAUGGGCGCAAGCCUGAUCCAGCCAUUCCGCGUGAGUGAAGAAGGCCUUCGGGUUGUAAAGCUCUUUCGCAAGGGAAGAAAACUUACUUUCUAAUAAAGAGUGAGGUUGACGGUACCUUGAUAAGAAGCACCGGCUAACUACGUGCCAGCAGCCGCGGUAA